UACGUAGGGGGCAAGCGUUGUCCGGAAUCAUUGGGCGUAAAGAGCGUGUAGGCGGUCCGGUAAGUCGGCUGUGAAAGUCAAGGGCUCAACCCUUGAAUGCCGGUCGAUACUGUCGGACUAGAGUCCGGAAGAGGCAAGUGGAAUUCCCGGUGUAGCGGUGAAAUGCGCAGAUAUCGGGAGGAACACCAAUGGCGAAGGCAGCUUGCUGGGACGGUACUGACGCUGAGACGCGAAAGCGUGGGGAGCAAACAGG
rnacentral:rRNA from 1 species